rnacentral:rRNA from 1 species
CUACGGGUGGCUGCAGUGGGGAAUAUUGGACAAUGGGCGAAAGCCUGAUCCAGCCAUGCCGCGUGUGUGAAGAAGGCCUUCGGGUUGUAAAGCACUUUCAGUGGGGAAGAAAGCCUUGGGGCUAAUACCCUCGAGGAAGGACAUCACCCACAGAAGAAGCACCGGCUAACUCCGUGCCAGCAGCCGCGGUAAUACGGAGGGUGCGAGCGUUAAUCGGAAUUACUGGGCGUAAAGCGCGCGUAGGCGGUCUGAUAAGCCGGUUGUGAAAGCCCCGGGCUCAACCUGGGAACGGCAUCCGGAACUGUCGGGCUAGAGUGCAGGAGAGGAAGGUAGAAUUCCCGGUGUAGCGGUGAAAUGCGUAGAGAUCGGGAGGAAUACCAGUGGCGAAGGCGGCCUUCUGGACUGACACUGACGCUGAGGUGCGAAAGCGUGGGUAGCAAACAGGAUUAGAUACCCUUGUAGUC